UACGUAGGGAGCAAGCGUUGUCCGGAAUCAUUGGGCGUAAAGCGCGCGUAGGUGGCUCCAUAAGUCCGCUGUGAAAGUCAAAGGCUCAACCUUUGAAAGCCGGUGGAUACUGUGGAGCUAGAGUCCGGAAGAGGCGAGUGGAAUUCCUGGUGUAGCGGUGGAAUGCGCAGAUAUCAGGAGGAACACCAAUAGCGAAGGCAGCUCUCUGGGACGGUACUGACGCUGAGACGCGAAAGCGUGGGGAGCGAACAGG
rnacentral:rRNA from 1 species